CGGAGCAUAGCUUAACAGCUUAAAGCACCUCCCUUACACCGAGUUGACGCCCGUGCAAAUCGAGCUGCCCCGAC
rnacentral:tRNA from 3 species